AAUUAUACUGUCACCUGCUUGAAAAAAAAAUUGUGCACUGCUGAAGUUGAGAAUAGUGUAAAUAACAACAGUUGAGACAGUGAAACAGCAGAUUAUAAACAUCUGUCCAGUCUACAGAUUAAGCUAUGAUUUAUAUUUAUACCUUAUUACUUUUUGUAUUUUCCUGUAAUAGUGUUUGAUCCAGAAAUAUUUAAAAGCAUUCCAAAUCUCCCGC
rnacentral:lncRNA from 1 species